UCGAACGGAGUAUUUAUUUCGGUAAAUUCUUACGGGUGAACGGGUGAGUAGCGACGGGSCGACCUGCCCUUCAUAUGGGGACAACAUCMYGMAUGGGGUGCUAAUACCGAAUACGAUCACUCUGCCUCAUGGCGGUGUGAUGAAAGAUGGCCUCUAUUUAUAAGCUAUCKSUGAAGGAUGGGCCUGCGUCUGAUUAGCUAGUUGGUGGGGUAACGGCCUACCAAGGGGAUGAUCAGUAUCCGGUCUGAGAGGAUGAACGGCCACAUUGGGACUGAGACACGGCCCAA
rnacentral:rRNA from 1 species